rnacentral:rRNA from 1 species
GGGUGAGUAACACGUGAGUAACCUGCCCUUGACUCUGGGAUAACCUCGGGAAACCGAAGCUAAUACCGGAUACGACCCUCGGAGGCAUCUCCAGGGGGUGGAAAGAACUUCGGUCAAGGAUGGACUCGCGGCCUAUCAGGUAGUUGGUGAGGUAACGGCUCACCAAGCCGACGACGGGUAGCCGGCCUGAGAGGGUGACCGGCCACACUGGGACUGAGACACGGCCCAGACUCCUACGGGAGGCAGCAGUGGGGAAUAUUGCACAAUGGGCGCAAGCCUGAUGCAGCAACGCCGCGUGAGGGACGACGGCCUUCGGGUUGUAAACCUCUUUUAGUAGGGAAGAAGCGAAAGUGACGGUACCUGCAGAAAAAGCACCGGCUAACUACGUGCCAGCAGCCGCGGUAAUACGUAGGGUGCAAGCGUUGUCCGGAAUUAUUGGGCGUAAAGAGCUCGUAGGCGGUUUGUCGCGUCUGCUGUGAAAACCCGAGGCUCAACCUCGGGCCUGCAGUGGGUACGGGCAGACUAGAGUGCGGUAGGGGAGAUUGGAAUUCCUGGUGUAGCGGUGGAAUGCGCAGAUAUCAGGAGGAACACCGAUGGCGAAGGCAGAUCUCUGGGCCGUAACUGACGCUGAGGAGCGAAAGCGUGGGGAGCGAACAGGAUUAGAUACCCUGGUAGUCCACGCCGUAAACGUUGGGAACUAGAUGUGGGGACCAUU